rnacentral:rRNA from 1 species
GAUGAACGCUGGCGGCGUGCCUAAUACAUGCAAGUCGAGCGAACAGACGAGGAGCUUGCUCCUCUGACGUUAGCGGCGGACGGGUGAGUAACACGUGGAUAACCUACCUAUAAGACUGGGAUAACUUCGGGAAACCGGAGCUAAUACCGGAUAAUAUAUUGAACCGCAUGGUUCAAUAGUGAAAGACGGUUUUGCUGUCACUUAUAGAUGGAUCCGCGCCGCAUUAGCUAGUUGGUAAGGUAACGGCUUACCAAGGCAACGAUGCGUAGCCGACCUGAGAGGGUGCUCGGCCACACUGGAACUGAGACACGGUCCAGACUCCUACGGGGGGCAGCAGUAGGGAAUCUUCCGCAAUGGGCGAAAGCCUGACGGAGCAACGCCGCGUGAGUGAUGAAGGUCUUCGGAUCGUAAAACUCUGUUAUUAGGGAAGAACAAAUGUGUAAGUAACUAUGCACGUCUUGACGGUACCUAAUCAGAAAGCCACGGCUAACUACGUG